rnacentral:rRNA from 1 species
AAUGAACGCUGGCGGCAGGCCUAACACAUGCAAGUCGAACGGGUCCUUCGGGACUAGUGGCGGACGGGUGAGUAACGCGUGGGAACGUGCCCCUUGGUACGGAAUAGCCCCGGGAAACUGGGAGUAAUACCGUAUGUGGUCGAGAGACGAAAGAUUUAUCGCCAAGGGAUCGGCCCGCGUUGGAUUAGGUAGUUGGUGGGGUAAUGGCCUACCAAGCCGACGAUCCAUAGCUGGUUUGAGAGGAUGAUCAGCCACACUGGGACUGAGACACGGCCCAGACUCCUACGGGAGGCAGCAGUGAGGAAUCUUAGACAAUGGGGGAAACCCUGAUCUAGCCAUGCCGCGUGAUCGAUGAAGGUCUUAGGGUUGUAAAGAUCUUUCAGGUGGGAAGAUAAUGACUGUACCACCAGAAGAAGCCCCGGCUAACUCCGUGCCAGCCGCCGCAGUAAAAC